UACGGAGGGUGCAAGCGUUAUCCGGAUUCACUGGGUUUAAAGGGUGCGUAGGCGGUCGGGUAAGUCUGAUGUGAAAUCUCACAGCUUAACUGUGAAACUGCAUUGGAUACUAUCCGGCUAGAGGAAUGGAGGGGAGACUGGAAUACUUGGUGUAGCAGUGAAAUGCGUAGAUAUCAAGUGGAACACCAGUGGCGAAGGCGAGUCUCUGGACAUUUCCUGACGCUGAGGCACGAAAGCCAGGGGAGCAAACGGG
rnacentral:rRNA from 1 species